rnacentral:sRNA from 1 species
CCCAUAUCAACGACUUGUGGCCACGAUCCCAGGCCUUGCAUACCUCGGUAUACGAGUGUCUCUGGUUGAACGUGGUCAUUUCGACAUCAAGGAGCCAUUAUAAGCAUUCCCAUAGUGUCAAUUUCCGGUCGACAGGUCGAAGAGCAAGUCCAAGUAGCCUGUCGCUCUCGCAAGAGGCCUGCCAGCAGAGCUCGCCUUUUCUUUACGAUUAGGUUUGCAGCACUCUGGCUGAAGGUGAAAGGACACACCCGCUAUUCCCAAUCGUGUGGCUGAUCCCGUUGGGACAUGGGCCAUGGGAAAAACCAGCGGCAUUUGUGUACAUCC